AACAGCUGGUGGUCCUGCACCACCACAAUAUACCCCAGCAGAGGAGCUGGCCCUUGGAUUGAAUGAAAACCAAACCAUUGUGGAGGGCAUCCCUGGGGGCAGCUCUUCCUCAGACCCAAAGACAGGCACCAGUAGCAGCAACACCUUCAUUACUCUUUUACAUAAUACACCAACACUUUUACCUGUUCCCAUGCAAGUGGUGGCUGAAGCAUAUGCAGACAGUGAAGAAACCCUCUCAGAAGACUGUCCUUUGGAGGAAGAACCUGUAAGUGCAUAAAUGACUUUACACUAAUUUGUAUAUAGCCUACUUGUGUACCUAUUCUUUCUGUCUGCGAUUUGAGUUGCAGGAGUCCACACCUAGAGAAAGGCCUACAGAAAGGCUUGCAGAAGAGUCUGCACAAAGAACUAAUACAGAGGUGGACAGUGUACUUUUACUUUUUACUUUUGUUGCAUGAGGCAUGUUUUGACCUUUUUUUUUUAUUUUACAAAAUGACAGGGUGACAUCCGUUCCCUCUAUAAACGGCAUCUUCAACAAAAAAUUUAGUAUUUUGAGCUGAACAAAUGCAAAUUAAGAGGAGAAAUUGAACUUGACAACUUGAAAAAGAGAGAAAUUGCUCUAGAGAUAGGGUUGCUUCAAAAGGACCUUCAGAGUAAGUGCUAAUACACCAUUUGACACAUAGUUAUGUAAAGUCAGCAAUACUACUAUCUCUUAUUGCAGGCAAAAGAUGACUUGCUGGCUUUUGUUUAUAAAGAAUUGUUUAAAUAAAAC